rnacentral:rRNA from 1 species
AUUGAACGCUGGCGGCAGGCCUAACACAUGCAAGUCGAGCGGAUCGCCGUUCUGGUGUGUAAUGCCUAUGACUCUGCCUGUUAGUGUGGGAUCACGUCCGCAACCGGGCGCUAUUACCGCAUCCUAUCAGUUGAGCCUAGGUCGGAUUAGCUUGUUGGUGGGGUAAAGGCCUACCAAGGCGACGAUCCGUAACUGGUCUGAGAGGAUGAUCAGUCAAACUGGAAAUGAGACACGGUCCAGACUCCUACGGGAGGCAGCAGUGGGGAAUAUUGGACAAUGGGCGAAAGCCUGAUCCAGCCAUGCCGCGUGUGUGAAGAAGGUCUUCGGAUUGUAAAGCACUUUAAGUUGGGAGGCGGUACGAAAAGAAGAAGCACCGGCUAACUACGUGCCAGCAGCCGCGGUAAUAG